CCUACGGGAUGUAGCAGUGGGGAAUAUUGGGCAAUGGGCGCAAGCCUGACCCAGCCACGCCGCGUGAAGGAAGAAGGCUUUCGGGUUGUAAACUUUCUUUUUGAGGGACGAAGAAAGUGACGGUACCUCAGGAAUAAGCCACGGCUAACUACGUGCCUGCAGUCGCGGUAAUACGUCGGCGGCAAGCGUUAUCCGGAUUUAUUGGGUGUAAAGGGUGAGUAGGUGGGAAAGCAAGUCAGAUGUGAAAACUCAGGGCUCAACCCUGAGCCUGCAUUUGAAACUGUUUUUCUUGAGUGCUGGAGAGGCAAUCGGAAUUCGGGGUGUAGCGGUGAAAUGCGUAGAUAGACGGAGGAACACCAGUGGCGAAGGCGGAUUGCUGGACAGUAACUGACGCUGAGGCGCGAAAGCGUGGGGAGCAAACAGGAUUAGAUACCCUUGUAGUC
rnacentral:rRNA from 1 species